UACGAAGGUCCCAAGCGUUUGUUCGGAAUCACUGGGCGUAAAGGGAGCGUAGGCGGCGUGGUAAGUCAGAUGUGAAAUCCCGGGGCUCAACCCCGGAACUGCAUCCGAUACUGCCAUGCUAGAGGAUUGGAGAGGUAGCUGGAAUUCUUGGUGUAGCAGUGAAAUGCGUAGAGAUCAAGAAGGAACACUCGUGGCGAAAGCGAGCUACUGGACAAUUCCUGACGCUGAGGCUCGAAGGCUAGGGUAGCGAAAGGG
rnacentral:rRNA from 1 species